CCUACGGGAGGCAGCAGUGGGGGAUAUUGCACAAUGGGGGAAACCCUGAUGCAGCGACGCCGCGUGGGCGAAGAAGUAUUUCGGUAUGUAAAGCCCUAUCAGCAGGGAAGAAGAAAUGACGGUACCUGAGUAAGAAGCACCGGCUAAAUACGUGCCAGCAGCCGCGGUAAUACGUAUGGUGCAAGCGUUAUCCGGAUUUACUGGGUGUAAAGGGAGCGCAGGCGGCACGGCAAGCCUGAUGUGAAAGCCCGGGGCCCAACCGCGGGACUGCAUUGGGAACUACCGGGCUGGAGUGCCGGAGAGGUAGGCGGAAUGCCUAGUGUAGCGGUGAAAUGCGUAGAUAUUAGGAGGAACACCAGUGGCGAAGGCGGCCUACUGGACGGUGACUGACGCUGAGGCUCGAAAGCGUGGGGAGCAAACAGGAUUAGAUACCCCUGUAGUC
rnacentral:rRNA from 1 species